UAGAUUCUCGUCCGGUUGCCCCGCCAUUAAGGAUUCUUCUAGAAAUGCGUUUCGCAACCGGCUGGAAUUGACAAUGACCGGGUGGCUAGCCACCGCGCCAGUUGAUGCGAUGCGUUUCCAUUGUGCGAUUCCAGCAGCAGCAUAUAGAAAAAGAAAUGUGUAGACACAUAUUCAUGUACUCGAACACUUAUGGAACGGAGUACAAAUGCACGCGUAUCUGCCUUAGUUCACAUGUGGACAUACAUAUUUAUUCGCCUAUGUGGGUAUAAGACGGUCUGUUUCAUUAAUUUCUAGCUGCGCCUGGUGGCUGGUAAAAUUCCACAAGCCCAACUCAAUUGAUCUACAGUGCAAACAAACUGUGUACUUGGAGAAUUGUGCAAAAAACAUAGAAGAGCAUUAACAUGACACGCAUAUACGUGUUAUAUACGUAUGUAAAUAUGUAAGAGUAUGCAUCAUGAAUGAGCAGUCAAUUGAUGGCUGGAGCAAAACAAGAAGGUUGCGAUAUGCAAUAGUGGGAGCCUCUUCGAAGCACCGUGAAGUUGUCACCACCUAUCCGCCAAGUCAGCUAUAGCCAGUUUCAGGCAUACAACUAUCGCGUCUCGAUGUCUUUUUCGCGCGUACGCUGGUUUGUUCUAGAUAUUUCUUCCGCUGUCCUAUAAGUUAUUCACAUGAUAUUAGUAUGGAGGCAAUUUGACGAAUGGUGUUUCAUUAAUUAAAUGCAAGAAGAUCUUUAAAAUUCAAUAUACUGAUUGCUUAUAACUUGUCACAUAAAUGUCAUGACUUAUAAAAUGAUUUGUUUUGAAUAAAACAUAAUAACAUUUUCAGGGUCUUACACCUAAAUAGAGGCAAAUAUAUGUAUGUAUGUAUUUAUA